rnacentral:lncRNA from 1 species
UAUACCGGAUUUUAAAUAUAAAAAUAGAAAUAAAUAAAAAUAGUAUGAGAUACUAUUUUUAUUGGAUUUAGAGAGGUGAAAAAUAUAGGUUGGGAAUGACUUGUGCUGAAAUCGGAGCGAAAACAGAAGAUUUAGAAUUUUCUGUGAGAAACGGGGCAGAUAAAUUAGUAGAAAAUGCACAGUGUCAGAAAAUUAUAAAACUGGAGGAUAUGUCAGAAUUAUUUUUAUGAGGCUAUAUUUCAAGUUUCAUAUCAUUCUGACACCCGGAAUGUGGAAAAUAAAAUCCGACAGCUAUCUGAUAAAGAUUAUAGUUCGAUACAGUUUUCGGUGACCAAAUGGGGUCGAAACUGAAAUAUUAAAAUUUUUUUAGACUCGUUGAGUAAAGCCAAACAUGACUGUCAAAUUUCAGCUCAACCGGAUAUUCAGGGAGCUCCGGCGAAAGAUAUCAGAUUUCGAACUGUUCGGAAGUGAAUAGUAUUUUGGGGUGUAAUGUAUAAAGAGCUUUUUGCUUCUUCUUCCUCAACCGACCACACCACCCCACAACACACGCACGCAUGGGAAGGGAGAGAGAAACUCUCCUUUCUCUCUCUAAAGAUCUCUCUCAUCUCUCCAAAUCUCUCACUUAAAUUCGCGGCGUUGGUGGAGAAGAUGCUUGCGAACGCAUUGGAGGCGACGGAUCGAGCUUUCGUGCGCCCGUUGGAGCGGCGUGUCUUCGUCGCGGCGUUCACAUUAUGAUAAGCUUUUGGGAUUUGGCUUAAUCCUUCACAUUAAAUGUUCUAAUAGCCUCUAAUGAGCUUUGUUAGCAUGUUGAUCCAUUUAAUUUGGAUUAUUUGGAGGUUAAUUCAUGUUAGGCUUAGAAAAUGAGAUUUUGUAAAAUAUAAGGGUUUGAUCUAAUUUGACCCUCCGUAAACCUAAUUGCUACGUAAAUGAACGCGUUGGCGAAGUCGGUUCGGCGAUUCGUCGAGCCUACGCGAAGUUAUUAAAGAAAUAGACGUUUAGGCUUCGUUUCCACCUGGAGGGCCGAGGCGACAUCGUAAAAUCAUGAAAAUGGAUUUGGAGCACCGUGGCACAAAAUCGAAGACCUACAAUUUUCGGAGCCGCGAUUCGACGCACGGUUGGUGAGUAUUAGCAAAAUCGGGCCGAACCGGACACGGGUGCCGCGGGAGGCCGAUUGCAAGUGUCGACAAGCAAUCGGAAAGCGAUUUGAGGUGGGUUGUGCUUACCGAAGCGACUAGGUCGCCCUUUAUGUCUAAGAAACAUACAAAUUCACAUUGAUGCAUAUAGUUGUAUUGGUAGGCUUACAUGAUAAUAUGAAUGCUUGAAACAUACUAUGUAGUUGUUAUUACCUACCAAUGAGAUGAAAUGUAUAAUGAAUUAAAUGAUAAAAGAAUGCAUGAGAUGCUAAAUAUAGACUACUUUGGAUGAUGAUUAUAUGUAUGUUGACAUAUCAUGUGAUGCUAGUAAUAUAUGUGCAUGAUGACAUGUUGUGAAUUAACAUAUUGUGGAUUAUGUUAAAUAGAAACAUAUACAUGAUCACAUAUAUUGCAUAUGAUAGAAGAAUUAUACAUGUUGCCAUAUUGUGGAACAUAGUAGUUGAAUUAUGCAUGUUGAACUUGGUCGAUUAGAGAAAUUGACAUUGGAAAAUAAGAGCAUGAAAAUUAUAAUACUCGAUGUACACAAGUAGAGUGUCAAGUAGAUCGAGUGGCAUUUGGACUAGUGUAGUAGAGACACUAUGACAUGUUUUGAGAAUAAGUGUAGUAGAGACACUUGUGACAUUAUUAUUGGGACUAGUGAAUUUCCCGAGUCAUUGUUAGCCCUAGUUCGUAGGGUAUCCUCACAUGGAGAGGAUGUAGACGAGUUUCGAUUGCGAUGUUGGCCCUAGUUCGUAGGGUAUCCUCACUUGAAGAGGAUAGAUCUAACUCACGGUCUGUUAUUUGGGGUGGUAUAGUCAUCCAUAUCCUCACAUGAAGAGGAUUAUCGUCGAGUACUCCGGAGUGUCGGACGAUUAGGACCACAUGGAGGUCCGCAGACAGUCCCGGGUUUGGGUGCACAUAGAGCUCCCUUGCCCAAUACGGGAUGGAAAUGUGAGUUGUAGGCGGGCCCAAGGGUUUCGCCACAGAUUGGGUAAAUGGAAAGUCAAUAUGGUCAUUGAACAUUGUUUAUCGAACAUGGAUCGAACUUGUUAGCAUGAUAGCACCAUUUUACUAUAUGAUGCAUCAUAUGAGUUUUAGUUGAUCCCAGUUGAGUGGAUUUAGGGCUGAGGUGCAUAUGAGACAUCCUUCACCUUGAGCCUGACUUUGCGCGGUAUUCCGCGUAUGAUUGACUCAAGACCGAGUUGAGUGGAUAGCUUAUAAAAGCAGGUUAAACCCUAUGAGUAGAACUGUAAUUGACAAGAAUCUAAAAUAGAGGAAAACUUAGAAGUCAAUUGGUUGAACUGUGAAUAACAGGAAUAAAAGUAGUAUCGAUUAAACUACUAGUUGGUUGCAUAGUUGCAUAAACUGCAUGAAUUUCAUAUUGCAUAUUUUGAGGCACAACAUGUAUUUCAAUACUUGAAUAUAUAUAUAUCUGUUGGAUAUCUGUUGGACUAACAUGUUGCAAUGCCUCCUUAGACCUAUUGGUCGAGCUCUUCCCUUAGGUGGCCGUACCCACUGGGAACCAUGGAGUUGGUUCUUACCCCAUAUUGUUUUGGGGUGUUGCAGGUUCGCACGUGAGCGGCGCGGCGGCGCAAGGCGAGGGCGUAGCUCCAUAGAAAGCACCCUACCCCAGAGACCAGAGAUAGAGGUACCCCGAGUCGGCAUAGCCUAGGGGUAGAGGGAAAAGAAAAAAAAGGAGCAAACUUGUAAUAAUAUUGCGAUCAUUAAUUGUAUUUGGAAGAAAAUGUAAUGUAAUAAUGCAAAUGUGAUGUAAAAAUAAAUCUAAUGGGAAUUCUUGUAAUAACAUAGGAUGUGUUAUGUUGUUUGAUACCUUCCUUAUGCAAUCUUGCUUGAAUACUGUUCCUGGUUGGAACUUCUUGUACUUGUAUUGAUUGCAACGCCUAGGACGUACAGGGGAGACUCUGUCCGUCCGGCGGUCUGUCGGCGUGCCCGAACCCGACCAAAUAGGCGGGGCUCGGGUGUGACAGAUGAGAUGGUAUAAGAGCAUAAUGUAGAGAAUGGAAAAUGGUUUAGGCGGACCUAGGAGACCCUAGGAUAGUAAACCAUAGGAGAAUAAGGCUCGUGAGAGACGAGGACUUGUGACUUAUGGCGAAAGAUUGAUCGAUUGGGUCAGGUUAGUAAACCUGUAAAACGGAUGUUAGAGGUAGACUUGAGGUGUGGUUUAUUCUCAACCGAGGGUGUUCAUGUUGGGUAUACACAACAUGAAAUCGAGUGAUGAGAAUAGACAUCCUUGCAUGACUUUCGCCCGAUUCGAGUCGGUGUCAGUUGUUUCGCGCUCGACCUUGAGGGUCGAGAAUCGACCGAGUUGUCGUGUCUUAGGAAGCGAUAGCACCGCGUAGACGAUCUUCAUCUAGAUCGGCGCGGGAUGGGAUGAGUGGUGUCCCUAAGCAAUCCGAAACGAGCGGAGACUUGGGACUUCGCGAGUGAUUGGCCAUUCUCGUGUGAGUGGCGGGGUAAUGCCUCUGCGGAGACCUUGGCCGGACAUGGUCGAGGUUGUGCAUGUAAGGAAGUGAAUUCUCGAAAUUCGAGAGUUGUACUUCAUCCAGGAUCGACUAUUUGUCGAGUGAGUAUCCUUCGAAAAAGCUAAAAAUGUCCAAAAUACAAAAAGUGCAUUGAAAACGUGUCCGCGAGAGCAAAUAUGCAAAAAUCUGGACUUAGCAGAUUUUGUUCUCGGGGACCAGUCCUUGGAAGGGAGGACCGGUCUCCGUAGCUGAUUGUUGCGGGGGAGGUUGAUGCAACCGGUCCCUGGCUGAGGGGACCGGUCCCCGUAUGCAACACCAGCGAGAGAAGGGCAAAAAAAGGCUAAGUCCUGGAAAUUCAGCUCUCGGGAACCGGUCUCUCAGGAAGGACCGGUCUCUCGGGUGGUGACCGGUUCUCGUACGCGAAAGGUCCCCAGGCCGUGGGGAGGGCGGGGACCGGUGUCACGCCCCGAGCCCGCCCAUUUGGUCGGUUUCGGGCACGUCGACAGACCGCCGAACGGACAGGGUUUUCCCUGUACCGUGGACAGAGUCUUCCCUGUACAUUCAAGGCGUCGCAAUCAAUACAAUGUACGAAGUUCCAACUAGGAACACAUUUCAAUCAAAGAUUGCAUAAGGAAGUAUCAAAAACAUAAGCUACUUGCUAUUACAAGCAUUCACAUUAUUUAGAUACAUUUUACAUCACAAUUACAUAAUACAUUUAACUUCCAAAUACAAUCAUGUUUUUAUUACAAAUUAUUGCAAUCUUAUCCCUUUCAUUUUCUUACAUCCCUAAGUAAAGCCGACUUAGGGUAUCGCUAUCUUUGGUCUCGGUGGUAGGGCGCUAACUACGGAGCUACGCCCUCGCCUCGCGCCACCGCGCAGUUCACGUGUGAACCUGUAACACCCCAAAACAACGUGGGGUGAGAACCAACUCCAUGGUUCCCAGUGGGUACGGCCACCCAAGGGAAAAGCUCAACCAAUAGGUCCAAAAGAGGCAACAACAAGUUAGUUCAAUAAACAGAUAGAUAUACAUCUUGAUUAUGCAACUAAUAAAACCAUGCUUUGCCUCACGAAUGCAAUAAUGCCAUGCUAUAUGCGAAUUAUGCAACUAUACAAUAGAAUAAAUGAUUUAACUUUCUAUUAUGCUAUUCAUAGCUUUUUCAUAAUUUAUACAUCUUGUCACUUUACAUCGUUGGUUAUUUGCUCCUAAGGUUUUCCUCUACCUUAGCAAAGCUAACCACCUGACUCGGUCUCGAGUCAAUCAUCUGCGGAAUACCGCAUACAUCCAGGCUCAUAAUGCAUACUUUCACACAUUCACUUUGGCCUUUACCCAAUCUUCGGGGUCAUUAAGUUCUCCCAAGCUCACAUCUCACAUGUUCCAUCUACCGGGUUUAGCAUUAGGAAAUGCCCUGAGGGAUCCAUCCCGUCAUCCGAGGAAGGCACAAGGCACUGUCACCCGAGGGAUCUUCGCCGGGCACACUCACCCGUGGUGUCUAUACUCCGGAGUACACCGCCUAUAGAAGAGCGACCUCGCAGAAGCCGGAACCAAUACAUGUGAGUACGAUCCCAUCCUCAAUUUGAGGGGUAUAGCCAACCUGUUCCAUAUCUCUAUGCCUCAAUGCCAAUGAUAGGUUUUUACCUAAUCAUCAUUACGCUAAUACCAAGCCACAAUGUCACUUUGGGUUAAACCUUGUUUAACUACUUUUUUUAACCCUAGGUUCAUGUCCAACCAAUGUUCUUUAACACUAGGUUAAAUGCCACUUGAUGUCCAACCUAUGUAUAUAUUCACACUAGGUUCAUAUGUCUUCAUGUCCGACCUAAGUUUACUAACUGUAUACACUGAAUUUUGCAAAUUGCGAAAUUAGAGUGUAGUAAUGAUAUUUGGAACCCUCCUACUUGUGCUAAAGGACUUAGACAAGUUUUUGGACAAGUUAGAGAGUGAUUGGAGGGUUAAAAGUGAGAAAGUGCGUUGAACCGGCACGAAUUCAGCAUUUUUCUGCUUGGUGUACCGGUACAGCCAUUAUGGUGUACGGUACACAAUGCAGAAACGUGGCAGCUUGGGCAUUUCGGUAAUUUCACACUUGAUCUCUAUCUUUUGACCCCAGCACGACCUCUGGAGCUCCAUAGAUGAUGCUAGAGCUCAGAGAAGGAUCCUUGCACCAUUCUCUCUCUCCUCUCUAGGGUUUUUCUCUCUCUACAUAGAAAUCGGCGAUUUCGCUCUUUUCGUCGCCUGCUCGUUCUUCGCUGGUUACGGGUGUCGCUGAGCCUUCGUAGACAUGUGAGAGAGAGUGUUUGGAAGGUUUUCGCAGCUCUGAACCAGUGAGGUGCUGGUUGGAAGCCUGAGAAGGUAUGUGACUCGAGUUUUUCCGUUAUCGACGUUCUAUUAGUCGAUUUGAGUAUUGCUUUUGGGUUUUUGCUUCCACCUGAUGUAAGCUGAGAUUUCGGCUAUUAAACUGGGUUAGUUAGGUGUGAAUUUACUACUUAGACCUGGAGAAGCCCUUGAAGCUUAAUUGGAAUAAUUAGCCAAUUAUUAAAGCUAAAUUGAGACGAAAUGCAUUUGUUUGAUGCAAAUGUGGGAUUAUUUCUUCGCAGCAGUUUGUGAGCUUCAUUGAUCUGAAUUUGUACUCUUUAAGAAACAGAUUUGGAAGCUACUCUAACCCAGGGUAGCAGGAAACUUCCGUGAGGAAUUCAAUUUCGCAAGAAUUGAACUAUAUAAGUUAUAUACAAGCGUUUUGACGCUGUUUUCGAUGUUACUCGCCAGCGAGAGUGCGAUCGAGCCGUGGAUCGUCGUUAGUUGACUUGUGAGAGCUCGUGGAGACUUAUCUUGAGGUAUUAAACUAGCCCCAAAGCAGGGUUCAAUCUAUUAUCUUGUACUAAGUGAAAUUAGGCCGAAAUCGGACAUUUCGGUCUCUUCUUGACACGAUGUUGAUGUUUAUGUUCAGCAGGAUUGCAAGCCGUGUCGAGCUGAUUAUGAUUGCGAUUUUUUGUGACUUUGGAGCCUUGUACCAGGUGGUCGACCUAACCAGAGCAAGUGAAGCUCCUCUAUGUUCUAUAUGUCACUAUGAGAAUUGAUUAUACAGCGUGUUAUUUAUCACUAUGUAGUUGCUAAAGGAUUGGGAGUAUCCUUGCGAUAAGGCUUAACAUAAUGGACAUAACCUCUAUGAAGUAGAGAGUACUCAUGCAUACGUGUCUCUUAUGCUUCUGUUUAUGUUUAUAUUUUGUUUAGUUAACUAAUGGUCAUACUAAUGAUGCUUUUGUAAAAUAGUAGAGAACAGUGAUAUUCUCGUGACUUUGUAGAGAACAAUGAUAUUCUCUUAACUCUAAAGUAGAAAACUAUAACAUGCUUAUGACCAUGUUGAUAGUGCCAUAAUAGUGGAAAGAUUAUAAUGCCAUGUGAUUUAGCAUUACUCUUACAUGUUUACAAUCUAGUGGAAUCUAGUUCUUGUUACUUUUGUGGAUUGAAAUUCCGAUCAGAGAUCGAGGGUAAGAACUUGCAAAUGAAAUUAUGAUAUUCGAGGCAUGUGAACUGUGGAAUACGCUUGCUUGCCAUUGUGCUCAUUCGCACACGCUUGUGAGGUAGCUCCCUACAAGCCGGCACUCCGGAGUUGGCCUACGCGACAGUUGCUCGCCCGUGCGGUGAUGGGUGCCGAAGUGGAUUGCCGUGGGAGUGUAUACUACCACGGGGCCAUUAGGCGCGGCGCAAGCUGGACUACCUUGAGUAGGUCCCUGUGAAUGAAAGGAAAGUGCUAAGAAAAUUGAAACAGUAAUGAAUGAUUACCCGUUACCGUGUUAUAGUAGUUACUUAACAUUUAUGCCUAUGUUUAUGCUUAUAGUAGUAGCCAUGCUUCUAUUAUUCAGUUGAUUCAUUACUGUUGAUGCUUAUGAAUCACAUGUUGUUUACAUGUUCAUUAUUUGUUAACUUUGGCUUAUGAAUUGUUAGCAUUGAAAAUAUAUCAUGCAAAUUACCGCUUUUAUUUCCAUUCAGUACAUUGAAGCCUAGUGGUGUAAUUCGCCGAGGCUGGCGGCUUACCCACUGGGAACUAUUGUUAAUAGUUCUCACGCCCUUUUGGUGGUUGUUUUUACAGAGCCUGUUACAGGAGAGGCUAGGGAUCGUGGCAAGGGAGUCGCGCCUAGCUAGGGACUACUAGGAGCAUGCUAGUCGAUCACCUUGCUACUCGGGCUACGGCCGAGGGUGAUGUCCCUAUGUAUAGAGAGACCACCGUUGUACCUAUUCUUUUUGUAUACCCUGUGUUGUAUAUUUACUUUCGGGGUUGAGAUUAUAGUAGUGUUACUUCUCCUUUUUUUUGCUGAGAUCUUGGAUUGUAUACCCGUUGUAUAUCGACUUGUACUUUGCUCUGAUAUCAGGAUAGGAUUUUCCUUGUUUUACUUCCUAUCGUUUUGCUACUUGUAGACGCCUUAUAUACUGCAGGUGUAUGGCGGGUCUGUGCACGUGCCGGAUAUGCUUCCGCUGGUAUCCGGGCGUGACACUAACACUAGGUUCAUAUCAUUCAUGUUCAACCUAUGUUCAAGACACUAGGUUUAAUGAUACUCGAUCUAAUGUAUAUAGAUUGUUCAUAUGCACAUUAUACUAGUUUUCCAAUGUCGAGUUCUCUAAUCAACCUAGAGUUAUCGACCCCAAGUUUAACAUGUACAUGUCAACAUGCAUAGUUCAUCCUACAACAUGCAUAGUUCAUCUAUCACAUGCAAUAUGUCAUUUACUUAGCAUUCUUAUUUUAGCAUCCCUAAAACAUGCUUAUCAUACAUGAACUUAGCAUUUUUAUCAUGUCAUCAUCUAUAUUCUUAGCAUUAACCACGUGCUUGCAUUUAUUAUUUCUACAUCAUACUUAAUGUUAACAUUCAUAUGCCCUUUAUCUUAUGCAUGCUUAUCAUACAUGAACUUAGCAUUACUCAAUACAUUCAUCUAGCACUAUUUACACUAAAGAGGAAUGCAUUCCUUUUUUUCAUGUUUUUAUAAUGUUAACAUUCAUAUGCCCUUUAUCUUAUGCAUUUAAAGCAUUAAUCACAUGCAUUUAUCUAGCAUUUCUAUAAAAUGCUAACAUGCAUUCUUUUCACAUUCUUACAUUAUGUCAAAUGCAUUCCUCUAGCAUUUCACAUUAUAUGUCAACAUGUAUCAAUAUGAAAUCUCAUUUCUCUUAGACAUAGAGGCGACCUAGUCGCUUCGGUAAGCACAACCCACCUCAUUUCGCAUUCCGAUUGCUUGUCGACACUUGCAAUCGGCCUCCCGCGGCACCCGGCAUCCGGUUUGGCCCGAUCUCUUGCGCGACCACCCGAACGGCCUUCCAAUUCACGAUCCGAAAAUUAAAGGUCUUCGGUUAUGUGCCACGGUGCUUCAAAUCCAUUUUCAUGAAUUUACGAUAUCGCCUCGGCCCUCCAGGCGAAAACGAAGUCUAAACGUCCGUUUCUUUAAUAACUUCGUAACGGCUCGACGAAUCGCCGAACCGUCUUCGCCAACGCGUUCGUUUACCUAGCAAUUAGGUUUACAGAGGGUCAAAUGAGAUCAAACCCUCAUAUUUACAAAACUAGCAUUUUUGAGCCCUAAAUUACAACUAGGUAAAAAUCCACCAUUAGAGCCUUGGUUUCAAGCAUCAAACCUCUAAUUAGCAUGCUAGGAUACCUCUAAACCCAUUCUUAGAGCUUAAAAACCAAACUAGAGAGAAAUGUCAUUAAAGGGUUUGAAGCUUACCUUCAAAGCUUGCUCUAAUGGGGAGGAAGAAGAUAAAGAAGAUGAAGAUCAACUUCCAAACUUGCUUCUCCACCAAAACCUUCAAUUUUGGGAGAGAUCUAGAGAGAGAAAAGGAGUUCUCUCUCUCUCUUUCCCUUUCCUUGCGUGUGUGUGUCGUGUGCGUGUGUGGUGUGCGGCCGAAGGAGAAGAAGAAGCAACAGCUUCUUCAUAAUACCCCUAAAACACUAUUCACUCCAGGCAGCUUGAAAUCUGAUAACUUUCACCGGAGCUCCCUGAAUGUCCGUUUGAGCUCAAACUUGACAGUCAUAUUCGGUUUUACGUACUGAGUAAGAAUAUAUUUUAAGUUUUCAAUUUCGACCCCAUUUGGUCACCGAAAACUGUACCGAACUGUAAUCUUUAUCAGAUAGCUGUCGGAUUUUAUUUCUCACUCUACGGGUGUCAGAAAAAUAUGAAACUUUAAAUCUAGCCUCAUAAAAAUAUUUCUGACUUAUCCUCCAAUUUUCAUAAUUUUCUGAGACUGUGCAUUUUCUGCUAAUUUAUCUGUCCCGUUUCCAACAGAAAAUUUCAGAUCUUCUGUUUUCAUUCCGAUUUUGGCACAAGUCACUUUUGACUUAUGUUUUACUUCUAUAAAUCCAAUAAAAAUAGUUUCUCACACUAUUUUUAUUUAUUUUUAUUUUUAUACCAAAUCUGGUAUGUUACAACCGGUCUCCCCGACGAGGGACCGAUCUCUCUGGGCGCAGAAUGCCCAGUGAGGGCUGUGCACAAGGAUGAAAGUUAAGGGGCUUAUUUGCACUUAUGCAACAUGUGGGGCUAUGUGAGGGGUAUGAGAGUUCUUUUCUCUCAUUUCUCACCCACACACCCUCUCAUAUCUCUCUUUCUCUCUCUAGAAGACAAGAAGAGGAAGAAGAAAGGAAAGGAAAGAAAGAGAAGCAGAAGGAGGUCUUCUUCAUCUUCUUCAUCUUCUCCUUGGUUGGAGCUUGUCACACCCUGGAUUUCAGCGGAAGCUCACCAGUCGUGUGCACAAACCCGCCGUGUACACCACAAUUCAAGUAUAUACCAGGGGUCUACAAUCAAUAUAGUAAAAUCAUUCAAUUCUAACCAGAUAAUCAGAGCAAAACUUAAAAGUUUAACUUAUACAACCCAAACCUUAUUACAAUAGAUAAGAACAUAAUACAAUUUACAUGAACUUAAUAUACAUCAAUAAACUAAACUACAUAGACUGAUAAAGGUUGUUUAGUACACGUCCAGAAGGCUCUAGCUAGUCGUUGACCCCUUGCCAGGAAACCUAGCCUUUUCCGCUGUGGAAGGCUCUGUAAAAACAACAACAAAGAGGGCGUGAGAACUAUUAAACAAUAGUUCCUAGUGGGUAAGCCGCCUUGAGUGGGAAGCACACCACUAGGCCAACUGUGGCAUGAGUAAAUAGCAAUAAAUAAGUAAAUAACUGCAACAGGUAUGAAAAUAAACCAAUCAUGCUAUUUGCUCAGAAAUAAACAUAUAUCAACAGGUUACAGGUACUAGUUUAUUAUUAUAGAAUCUAUCAUUCACAUUAGUUGAAAAUUUUAACUAGUCAUUUACCAGAUUAUAUGCAAGAUAAUUUACCAUUGCUGAAAUAACUGAUAACAUUAUGUAAUUACCUUCUACAUUAGCAAUAAUGAGACAUACUGUCAUUAUGUUACUAACUAGUCAAAAUGUCAGCUUUCUAGCUUGUUUAUCAAUAAAUAUCCAACCGACACAAUGUCCACAAUGUAAAUGGUAAAGAUGUCAUUGUUCACUAUUCUAGUCAAUGUCCACUUGUCGUUUAACUACUCAAAGUUUAAAUCUUGUAAAACCCACCCGAAGGCUGUCUAGUAUGAAGACCCACUCGAAAGCUGUCUAGUAUGCAAGCUAUAAUCCAUGGUACAAUAUCACAACGACAUCAUGGAAUCUCAACUCGACCCAAGGUCGACACUGUAGUACCAAAUCAUAAAUUGCUAUCAACUACUUGUUGACAUAAUUCACUAUCAAUAGCUAGUAUAACUUAAUAAGUUUAAGCUUUACAUCGUACUAGUGAUUCUAUCAGGCUACACCUGGUCACUCACUCAUAGUCCUCUCACUACUCCUUACACAUAAGGGAAGUGGUUUACUAAAGUCAUACUCAAAGACUCAUGGCACAUAUUCUGCAGUUCAAUGUAAACCUCCACUACUUGGAGAAAACAAAUGCUAUGCAACUAGCAACAAUAACUUGUUGGGCCUAACCACCAGCCCAAAAUGCUUAAGCCUAGUUAUUAUUGCUAGUGUUUAAGUCUCUUAUAUAUCCAAUCACAUCUAUCCGAUGUGGGAUUAUUAGGGUGUGACAGAACUGUGACGCCCCAUCUUCCCAGGGGGUCACCCAUCUUAGGACUACUCCCAUCGUAGCACGCUUAACUCUCUUAAUUUUUUGGGCCUAGCCACCCCUCAAAAUGCUUAAGCCAGGUUAAGAGUUCUAGUCCUAUUAUAUCUUAUAUAUAGGACUAUUUGGGGUCUCACAAUCUCCCCCCUUAAGCUCUGACGUUCUCGUCAGGCUUAGACUCACAAGUACCAGGCGAUGUGAAACUCGUCUCGCUAGCCUUAUCAUUCCAACCCCGGCUCAGCCGAAACUCAUCUCACACUUCCGGCUGGUAAUUGGCUCUGAUACCAACUGUGACGCUUCAUCUUCCUAGGGAAUCACCCAUCCUAGGAAUACUCCCAUCCUAGCACACUUAGCUCUCUUAACCUCUUGGGCCAGCCACUACCCAAAAUGCUUAAGCCGAGUUACGAGUUCUAGUCCUAUUAUAUCUUAUAUAUAAGACUAUGUGGGGUCUCACAUAUGAAUUGACAACCCUAAAGAAGGUCUCUACUUAUUUUAAAGGAUUGUGGGGCCCAUACAAUUUUUUUAAGAAUUAAUUUAUCUAAUAAUAUAAUAAUAUUAUUAGAUUAUUUAUUUGGUAGUUAAAUCUUUUUACAGUUAAAAAAAUAUCUAUUUUGAUUUCGAAUGCCUUUUGAUAAUAUAUAAAUAGGGGUGGAAACGAGCCGAGCUCGAGCGAGCUUAUGUCAGCUCAAAUUCGGCUUGAAAUUAAUUUCGAGCCUAAAUCUAGGCUCAAGCUCGGCUUGAAAUUAAUUCGAGCCGAGCUCGAGCGAGCCUAAUUUCAAGUCGAGCCGAGCUCGAGCUCUAAACGAGCCGAUUGAAAUUCUCGACAUUUAUUAAAUCAAUAGUUUAAUUUUUAUAAAACAUUACCUACAAUUUGAUACAACAUGUUCAAUAGUUCAAAAUACCAAAUAUUAUAAGAAAUGUGAGUUAGGGUGACUUCCUGACUGGAUGAGGGUCUGAGAGAGAGAGAGAAGAAAAAAAGUAGGAUUUAAAAAUUUGAAUGUUAUCAUGUUUUUAGGAUUAUAUGCAACAGUAAAAGUCUGAAAAAGAGAUGUGUUAUGUAAAUUUAGAGUUUGGCUCAAUUGCACGGUUGUACUUGUUGGGUUUAUUUUAUGGGCCAACAAUAAUGACCCAAAUUAAAUUAAAGCCUAUAUAUAAUUAAAAUACAUUAUAUAUAUUAUAUAUAUAUAUAUAUAUAGAGUGAGGGCUACUAUGCUAUCGGAAGCACGGAGCCUUCCGUGCUUCCAGCUCGUUUUUGAUGUUGCGAUUUUCAAAUCGUCGAUCGGCUCGCUUAAACUUGAUCUAGAGUAUUUGAAGUACCUAAAAAAUAAAUUUUAUGAUUUUACGAUAUUAUUUGCCUAGUGAACGAAGGGGCUCAAAAUCAACGGCUAAAAAAUAAAAUCUUACCAAAUGUUGAUAAUAUGACAUUAAAAUUUUAAAUCAAAGAUAUUGAUCUUGUUUUUAUAUAGUAUAAAGAAUUUUCUAUCAAAAUUUCACGUGAUUUGGAUAUUUCUACACCGUUAAACUUGCAAACGGCUCACUACGGCCAUUGAAAUUUGUUGAUUUUGAGCCCAUUCGAUCACUAGGCAAAUGAUAUCGAAAAAUAAUAAAAUUUAUUUUCUAGGUAUUUCAAAUACUCUAGAUCAAGUUUAACGGAGCCGAUCGACGAUUUGAAGGUCACAACAUCGAAAACGAGCUGAAGCACAGAAGGUCCGUGCUCCGAUAGCAUAGUAGCCUCACUCAUAUAUAUAUAUAUAUAUAUAUAUAUAUAUUAUAUAUAUAUAUAUAUUAUAAUUAUAUAUAAAACAUUAACCUACAAUUUGAUACAACAUGUCCAAUAGUUCAAAAUACCAAAUAAUUAUAAGAAAUGUGAGUUAGGGUGACUUCCUGACUGGAUGAGGGUCUGAGAGAGAGAGAGAGAAGAAAAAAAGUAGGGAUUUAAAAUUGAAUGUUAUAUGUUUUAGGAUUAUAUGCAACAGUAAAAGUCUGAAAAAGAGAGUGUGUUAUGUAAAUUUAGAGUUUGGCUCAAUUGCACGGUUGACUUGUUGGGUUUAUUUUAUGGCACAAAUAAUGACCCAAAUUAAAUUAAACCUAUAUAUAAUUAAAAAUACAUUAUAUAUAAUAUAUAUAUAUAUAUAUUAUAUAUAUAUAAUAUAUAUAUAUAUAUAUAUAUUAUAUAAUAUAUAUAUAGUCCAGCUACUAUACUUUUAUGAGUAUUGGCUUCUUUAUACUCAUAAGUUUUCGACCCUUAGAUUUAUUCCAUUAAUCAUUUUCAUCCAUUAGAUUAUACUAUUUAACCAACUACCCACUCAACCCUGGGGGCACUAUCAUUCUAAGUGGGGAUCACCAUUAUCCUAACCAAUACUCCCAUCAAUCAACGGUUACAAAUUUAUGAGUACAAGGAGUCUAUACUCAUAAGAGUAUAGUAGCCCCAUCAGCUAUAUAUAUAUAUAUAUAUAUAUAUAUUUUCGAGCUUUUCGAGCCUAAUUCGAACGAGCCGAGUAAUACUCAAGCUCGGCUUGAAAUGAAUUUCGAACCUUUUAUUUUGUUCAAGCUCGGCUCAUUUAAUUUCGAGUCGAACUCGAGCGAGCCGAAUAUCGAGCCGAACACGAGUCGAACGCGAGCCGACUCGCUCGUUUGCCGGCCCUAUAUAUAAAGGAUAUAUAAAUUUAUUUUAUAUUUUUCAUUAUAAUUUUUUUUUAAUUUUAAAAUUUUAAAAAUUAUAUAUAUUAAUUUACUGAAAUAUUACCUAUAGCUGCGAAGCGCGGGUCUUGUUUGGUAUUUGCUCCAUUACAAAAGACAUAAAAUUACAUCCAAAAUGAGUGUUUGUCUUGGAUUAUCAAAAGAAAAUGCCAAUUUUACCCUCCCACACACCCCAAACCCUAUCAACAGCAUCGUCUCCGUCUCUCUCCCUCUCACGCACGCCGCUCUCUCUCUUUCGCGCGCCGCUCUCUCUCUCUCGCGCGCCGCUCUCUCUCUCUCUCUCUCUCUCGCACGAACACCUAUCCUCUUCUACUGCUUGGUCCUCCCAGGUAAUCUUCGCGAUCUCCUUCCUUUCAUUCGCCAUUUUCGCAUACAUAUUUAAUCACUUCUCUCUCGCUAAAACCCGUUGUUUUCGAAACUGAAGUUAGAUCCGAUUUGGAGGUUUUUUUUUUUUUCCUUUUUUCGUCGAUUUAAGGAGUGUUUAUGCCUCUUUUUCACAUAUUGAUUACAUAUCUAUUGCCGACUUCGUCAGAUCUGAAGCCAUGUCUUGUUUCAUUUAGUUGCAAUCUUUCUAGAGGACAUGCUGAACAGGCACUUUGGUAUUUUUGAUUCUUAUUAAUCUAGUUUUGGAUCUCCUUUUUUCUUUUAUCUCCCUUUUCCUGGAUUUGAUUUGGAAAUCUUAGGGAAUUUUAUUUAUUUUUUAUGCCCUAAUUAAUCAUGUGUUGGCCUAAAAAUAAAAAUCCUAGUUUAAAAUAAAAAUCCUAGAGGAAGAGUUAAUGACACUGGCAUCCACCCAAGAUCUUGAUGUUGAGAUGUUUUUUAUGGAACAAAGUAGUGCUCGAGUAAACACUUUGAAUGGUGGCACAUCGACAAAAUCAAAGAAGCAAAAGUCACCACUUGGAGAGGAUUCGAUCAAUGAAUAAUUUUGUUCAACCUUGCGUUCACUUGAAAUUUCAUCUAACGAUGCCAAUGAGCACUUAGGUUGGCUUGCUAAUUGCUUUCAAUUCAUGGCAAAUAAUGAGACCAAAAAGGAGAGGUUGUUUGAAGAGAUACUAAAGAUUGAGGGACUUGAGGACAGGCAAAUAAUAGAUGCUACUGAAAUCCUAAUGGGUGAUUCUACAAAAUUACAUACAUUUUACUGCAUGCCCGAUCCGAUCAUUACAGAAAGCAAUGACGUGAUUGAAGAAAUUGUGUUAUUAGAGUUGGACUAGUUGGGUUUAGACUUUUUUGACUUGUUUUAUUUUAGUGCAAGAACUUUUAAACUUUUAUAAUGUAAGUGUUUAAGCGUCCACUUUUGGAUGGUAUUAUGAUGUGUGUGGAAGUUUUGACUGUAUGAAAUAUUUAUUCUAUAUGGUGCUUUGUUAAUUUCUUAACUUGGUAAUAGUAUUGUUUGAGAUUAAACAUGAAAAAUAUAUAUUGAAUAUUUUGCUGUUAGUGUGCCCUUAUGUGAUGUUUAGUUAAUGAUUUUCUUUAUAGAUGAGUUUUUAAAUUGAAAUUUAUUUGUUAUUGUAUGAUUUUUGAUUUUGUAUUAUAGUCUUUUUUCUAUUUAUUUUUUUAUGGGUUGAAAUUAAUUUUUUGCAACGUAAUUUUUUUUUUCAUGUUUGGUCUUUUUUUAUUACUUAUUAAUAUAAUUAAUUUGCCAGUGCAAAUUAUAUUUACUUAUAUUUUA